AUUUCAUUCAAAGUGAGUGUUCCUUUUCUACUCUCAAGCAUACAACACAGCUCCUAGUCCUCCGAGAUCACUGGAUCUAGCAAGUUGUUUGUUGCUAAUUGGAUUGACUGCUUAAAAUACUUUACCUAAUUGUAUUCCGUUGCCAAAGGCUUUCCGGCACCUUGAUGAUGUUUCUAUCAGGAAUUAUGCUCAGGGUGCUUAGAUAGGAUGAUGACAUCCUUGAGUUAUUGCAUAGCUUAAAGAGCUGAUCUCUGAGCAUAUGUUUGAAAACUUCAAAUUCCCAUUUGAUAACCUCAGAAUUUAUGGAGAGAAUUCCAAAGCUAUAGAGGAAGACAAAUGAAUAUGAUGCUUGCGUUGACUGAGGCUGAAUAAUUACAACAAGGUUCUGGAUCUAACGUUCCACUAGGCAAUAAAUUUGCCAGCUUAAUGGAACUGGGGUAGAUCUGGGGUAGCCAAUGUGCUGUCGGCUAGGUGUUUUGAACACCAGCUCCCAUGAGCCCUAGUCAGCAUAGCCAGUGGUCAGGGAUGGUGGGAGUUGCAGUACAGCAAAUAUAUGGAUGGCAUCACUGACCUAGAUGUUACCAUAUGGCAGAAUAAAGCUACUCAAAUGUCAAGGGUGCCAUGGUGGUACAAGCAUAUUUUAACUCCAAGCUAGAGUGUGUGAGAGAAAUAGAGAGAUUGCUUUUGAGUCGGUUAUCUUCCUGGACCGGAUUUCUAACUCAAAACUGUAGCAAAUGAUUAUAUAUGACAUUUAGAGACAAAUGAUCUAAUUCUGUAAAACUUAUACACACAUAGGAGGGAAAGCAUGCACAUACAUGGCUGAGCAAACAAGCCAGUUUUGAAUUAUGAAAAGCAGCUUUCCUGAUGAGCUUUUCUCUUGGCAAAAGUCACAUCUGCACAUAAUUCUGCUGUUAAAGAUAGAAGAGAUUCGUCCUUCAAUCCAUCUGGUCACCUUUGUUCUCAAAGAGAAGAGAGAUGAAGAUGUAUGAGAAGCAUGAGGGACUCGGGGCCAGGGCGAUGACACACACUUUUCAGACAGGCUUACUGUUUCUAGGGCUACUGAUUCUGCUGGACAUUGUCAGCACAACCUUGACUGUGGUGGGUCCAAACGCCAGCAAAAGAUAGUGCACAACAGAUGACUCGAU